UCACCAUCUAAAACCUAAAGGGCAAGCAGCCGCACUUCUCAUCUCCUUCAUCUUUCCUCUUCCAAACAAGAACCCUUUUUUCCACAGCCAUGGCAGACCAUUACCACACUAUUUUGGUGCAAAUUUUGUUUCUUUCUACCUUUGUCUGAGCGUAUGUUAAUGUCUCUGUCUCGUUUCGUGUUUGGAUAGUACGUUAAAUCUCGAAGCUCAGUGGAGGUCUCACUAUUUCGGGAAGAUCUGAAAAUAUCGUGUUAAGCAUGCUCCUUUGGUUGAAAAUCGAAUCAGGAUUGGAAAGUUUAAACUCAAUCUUCUUUAUGAUUUUUAUCUUUCACCAUUUUAGUACAAGAGCUUUAUUUGAUUUUUGUCUUCUUCCAUCUUUUUCUGAUCUUGCUACUGGCGAAUCUUUACAAAUCUCAAACGUUCAGAUUUUUGAACUGGCUUUUGACCUAGAUAAUUCAAGAUCCCGCCCAAAUUGAAGAUUAGAUUUUUUUGGCUUACACCUAUAAAUAGCGUCUUAAGAGCUCAGCCGCAGGAGAGAGUCACUGGGUCUCAAUCCAAAAGAAAAACAACGGAAAUAAAGCCACAUAUCAUUCUAAACUGCUAUAUUUUAUCUUUCUGUUUGAACUUUGUCUAAUCUAAGUGAUUUCGGGUUCGUUCGUGUUCGAGCGUAAAAUCCAAGACCUCGACGCCCCAUUCACUGCACCAACAAAAGGCUGUUAAAAAGGGUCGAGAUCCAACACCAAGUAAGGUACAUUUGCACGUACAUACACACUGUCAUGAUGGAAAAUCUUUUGUUGGUGAGCGAGCCCGAAUCGGCAUGAAAAAUAUCAAGAAAUACUACAAAAUCAGACACAGACUCAAUCUGAAGUUGAUCAAUGUCAAGCCUAUUACGAAGCUGCAUGAGGGGUAAAGAAAAGAAGAAUAUAUGGUCUUGGAUCUCAAGCACAAAUAUAUUACCGGCUGAAUCUUCGUCCCUCUUCUGCUUCUGAUGCUACAUCCUCAGUACCACCUCCGAAUGCUCAACUAGCAGUGACUGGAAAUUUGGAUGAGUUAGUGACACGAUUAAUUCCUGCACUGACUGAUAGCAUCAUUCCUGCACUUACUGAUCGCUUGCUUCCUAUAAUUAUUGAGCGAGUACGUGGAUUGAGUCUUUCUGUCUCUUCUCAGACAGACACUCCUAAUGACCAUCUAUCAUUUAUGGCACCUAUAGUUCCAGCUCCAGUUACUGCCAACAUUGAUCAAGUUCAUGCAUUGGUUUCUGGUGAUGAUCGUGGCUCUCCAGUCUCUCAUUAGUUAGUUUUGUUGUUUGGACUUUAUGGUUGUUGCAUAUGAUUUUGGAUUUUUGGUUUUGGAUAUCGUUGUGGAUGCUUUGAACUUGAUUUGCAUUCUACUAUGUAUUUUGGACCUUGUAGAAUAUUAGUUUUUGUGAAUUAAGUUAUUAUAUGAGUC